GACGAACGCUGGCGGCGUGCUUAACACAUGCAAGUCGAACGAUGAAGCUAGAGCUUGCUCUGGUGGAUUAGUGGCGAACGGGUGAGUAACACGUGAGUAACCUGCCCCGAACUCUGGGAUAACUGCUGGAAACGGUAGCUAAUACCGGAUAUGACCAAUGAAGGCAUCUUCUGUUGGUGGAAAGAAUUUCGGUUCGGGAUGGACUCGCGGCCUAUCAGCUUGUUGGUGAGGUAACGGCUCACCAAGGCGACGACGGGUAGCCGGCCUGAGAGGGUGAUCGGCCACACUGGGACUGAGACACGGCCCAGACUCCUACGGGAGGCAGCAGUGGGGAAUAUUGCACAAUGGGCGCAAGCCUGAUCCAGCCAUGCCGCGUGCGGGAAGAAGGCCUUCGGGUUGUAAACCGCUUUUGUCGGGGAAGAAAUGCUCCGGGAUAAUACCCUGGGGAGAUGACGGUACCCGAAGAAUAAGCACCGGCUAAC
rnacentral:rRNA from 1 species